rnacentral:lncRNA from 1 species
UUUGUCAAAUUGACUGAUGUGUAUGUGUACAUAGAGUGAGGUUAAUUUUGGGUUUAUUAUUGUUGAAUAGAUAAGUUUAUUUUGGCAGAGAAGAGAAAACGAGGAUAAACCUUUCUUGCAGAAGAAAAAGACAAGCUAGUGAAAUUGCUGACGUCUCAUAGAGACACAAUAUUAAACAAAAAACGGAUGGGACCACGAACGAAGCCAAAAACAAAGCUUGGAUCCAGUCACAAAUAGUUUUAAUGCGACAGGAACCCUUUACAGUUUCAGGUGGUGCGAGAAAUUGGAAAGACGUGUAAAAACAUGCUGCGCCCAGCCCACCUCAAAUUGAAUUGGUGCAGGAGGAUGAUGAUAAUGUUUGGUACAUCAUAUGAGGACUAAUAUUAAAAUAUUUGUUUAC